AUUGAACGCUGGCGGCAGGCCUAACACAUGCAAGUCGAACGAGGGGCGGUCGGGUGAGUAAUGUUUGGGAAUCUAGCUUAUGGAGGGGGAUAACUACGGGAAACGGUAGCUAAUACCGCUUACCAUACACUGAGACCAAGUGGGAUUAGGUGGUUGGUAGGGUAAAGGCUCACAAAGCCGACGAUCUGUAGCUGGUAUGAGAUGAGGACCAGCCACACUGGAACUGAGGCACGGCCCAGAAUCCUACGGGAGGCAGCAGUGGGGAAUAUUGCGCAAUGGGGGCAACCUGACGCAGCCAUGACGCGUGGAUGAAGAAGGCCUUCGGAUUGUAAAGUUCUUUCGGUAGAGAGGCGUUAACUACAGAAGAAGCACCGGCUAACUCCGUGCCAGCAGCCGCGGUAAUUC
rnacentral:rRNA from 1 species